rnacentral:lncRNA from 1 species
UGGGAUAAAUAAAUUUAUUUUUUACAAGCAAAGCUUGAAGAUUACAGUAUAAGAACACUGGUUCGCUUUGAUGUAAGUAUAUAAAUGGAAACAUUAAUUUAUCAGAGACUUCUUCAUAUUAUAGAAGUCCUUAGACAAAAGGAUUAAACAUCACUUGGACUGUUUCAUUGCUAGUGAAAUAUAAUGUAUAAUCUGAAUGCCAUUACAUUGUAUCAAUAUUUCAAUUUUUGGGGAAUUUCUUAAAUUUAUCCGUUGUUUUCGAUUAGAAAAUUCCAAUGAAUAAGUUUAGUUCAUAGUAAGAAAGGUUAAUUUUAAACAAUAUUAUUAGAAGAUAUUUCCACCAAUUAUUAAGUAUGAAGAUUUUAGGUCAUACUCGUGAAUAUAACAUAAUGUGAAGAUAAA